UCCAGGCCCUACGGGGCGCAGCAGGCGCGAAACUUCUGCAAUGCGCGAAAGCGUGACAGAGCCAUCCCAGGUGCUUCCCGCUGAGGGAAGCUUUUCUCCAGUCUAAAAAGCUGGAGGAAUAAGGGGGGGGCAAGCCGGGUGUCA
rnacentral:rRNA from 1 species